rnacentral:rRNA from 1 species
CGUGUAGGUGGCUGGAUAAGUCAGAUGUGAAAGCCCUGGGGCUUAACCCAGGAAGUGCAUUUGAAACUGUUCAGCUUGAGUAAGGGAGAGGAAAGUGGAAUUCCUGGUGUAGAGGUGAAAUUCGUAGAUAUCAGGAGGAACACCGGUGGCGAAGGCGACUUUCUGGCCCUAUACUGACGCUGAGACGCGAGAGCGUGGGUAGCAAACAG